UGUUGCGCGUGCACGCACCGUGGAGCAAUGUCCCAAUACCUCUUUAAUGUAGCUUUAAGGGGUAAGGGGGAGGGCUAACAUCCCCUCAAAAUUGAGAUUUUCGAUGGGCACCCUCAAAGCGCUUCAGUUCUGACUUGCUCCCACAAUACCUUGCGAGAAAACGGAAAAUCAAGAAAUAUCCUAGACAAGAUGGAGGACGAAAAGAUGCGACAGGAUUGGAAAAACACAAAUGCAUUGGUUCUUAGACAGGUGCGGGGCGUGGCGAGCGGAGCGGGGCACAGCAACGUAGCCCACCUGGACAUCUGGAUCAACUAAUUACACACCUUCUUAAGCCUGGCGGGGACUUCUCGUCGGCGCCAGAUUAUUCCGUCUCAUUCGUUCCUCGCCAGUGGAUUACCCCCGGACUGCAAAACUCUCCGGUGCCUCCGCCAGCUACGCCCACCCGCUCCUGUCUUCGCCUUGCCCGCUGGUUAUCUUUUGAGUUCUCCUUUACUGACAAUAAACCGUGGAUUGUCCGUACUGUCUCUGUCGCUGCAUCCUGGGUCCUAACCAAUCUUUUCGCCAACCGUAACACGUAGGGUCUUUCAUGAUUACACCACACUUACUUAUGGAUAUUAGCUAUUAGGCUAUCACCCGUAGUGUUAAAGAAGGGUUACGAGUUUGUUAGUCGUGUACAGACUAAUGUUUGGGUUCAUUGUUGUUUUUUAUUUGUUUUUUGUAUUAUUUUUGUGCAUUAUAUGUUGGUGUCAUAAAUGUUUUUAUUAUCAGUCUCUUU